UGGAUAAAAUCAGUGGGGUAUGUAUGUGGCAGAAUUGUUACUAGGGAAUAAGGAAGGAAUGUGAAAAGAAAAACUGGAAAAAAGGCUUAUGCCUUUGUCUCAGGCACAGAGCAAUUUGUUUGGCAGACAUUUUGGCUGGCCAAAAGAAAUUUAUACUCAUAUGUUAACUUUCUAAAUAUUUUUUUUUUAAAUCAUAUCUGAUGCAUGGGGGAAAGGGACUUCUGGAUGUUACCUGCAGCUGUGCUUCUCUACUAUAUCUCCUUGUGUUAUAGCCAUGGCCUUUUCCCUCAAAAACUAUGUGAUAACAAUUGUACUUGGCUGUUCUUUCAUAAUCUGCUGCCAACUCCUGGCUGUACAAUGAGGCAAUUAAAAGUGCACAGCUAUUAGCCCAGUCUGUACAGCUUUUCCUCCCUUCAGGCCAUUCUCAUCCCACAAAUACGAAUAAGGUUCUGAAAAAAUGAGCAUUUCCUAUAGUCUUUUGCAACCUUCUUGCUGUAAAAAUAGAUUGCAACCAUGCUUAUGUCACAUUGUUGCUGAGCAACCUUUUUACCCUCCCCCCCACCCAAUCUCCCUAUUCUCUAAUAUCUUAUUGGUCUUCACCAUGAUCAGUCUGCAAACUACGACUCACUAGUCACGAACAGCACUGCCUUCUAAGCCUGCAGGACACUCUGCCCUUCAGUGAUUACACAGGCUUAAGGGAGAUAUGCCUUAUAGAGUAACCAGACACAGGAUGUUGACCUAGGGGGGGAAAAAGCUAAUAGAAAACAUGAGGGACAAGGAGAAAAGUCAAACUGGGAAAAAAAAAAAAAAAAAGAAAAAGGUCCUCUCUCUUGAGGAAGCUUACAAAAAUAAAAUAAAAUUCAGAUCUGUAAUCCCUUCACCUUCUGUCAAGGUCAGCAAAGAGGAAUCAAUGAACUUAUCAUAGUCUCUCAUUUUCCCCAAUGAGCUCUGGACAAGGAUCUUUCUUUAAAAAAAUAAGGAUUGUUAGGCAGAACACCAAGGGCAGCUGAGCUUUGGAAAAGCUUAUUGUUUGAGAAGAAAUGAUCAGAAAAUGAAGGCUGCAAGCACAGCACUCACACACAGAGUCAUUUGUGUGAAUAGGCUCAGUAGAGGAACGUCCAGCAAAGCAGUGACACCAGUGGGUAAAGCAUAGAUCCAGAGAUCUAUUUGGAGAGGAACUUAGGUGCUUUUAGAAGUCAUAAGGUAUUUGGUCUGGCUUUCAGCUGCUGCCCUAGAAGAGGGUGGGUGUUCUGUAAAACCCACAUCUUAGCUGCCGUCUCUUUGCCAAUGUCUGGGGUACCACAAGAAAUCUAAAACCACAUUACAUCUAUGCCUGUGCCUUAGUCCCUUAACCACUCCUCAAUAUCUGACUUCUAUUCAAAUACUUUAACCUUUAUUGGGUUUAAUGAAUGAUGGAGAAAAAACUAUCCCUCCUGGAAUGCAGAUAUCUGCAUUUAUAUCCCUGCCAAAGGGUAAUACACCUUGCAUCCACGGUGUUCUUAUUUUUAUUGCAUCAUGAUUCCACCUUCCCAGGCAUUUCUGAUCAGUGUGACAAAGAAAGCUUAGUAGGCACCAGUAGACCAGGACGUCUCCAUUGACAGUUAGAAACCUAACAUCUAUUUAAAGUCAUCUCUGAGUGUUAGGCUAUGGAAAUAAAACCAGAUUCUGGGGCAAAAAUUGCUUCCUACGUUCUUUGCAAAGGCUUAAUCCAUCUCAGUGGGCCUUGUGACUAACCUGUCAUUCCAUCUCUAGAACCUCACAACAUCUCAGCUGACUUGAGGUCACAGCCAAGAGAUUACCUGAGAGUGGUUAGGUUAGUCACCACCUCCCAAAUCAGCAGCUGAUGGGAGUGCUGCCAGUAUCAAUCAGAUAAGCAGAGUUAACAGUGAGUUGAUCCAGAAGGAAGUGGAACUACAUGGAAACUGUAAUAGUUACACUGAACACAGAAAAUUUCAACAAAUGGAUGGAUGAUCAUGAUUCCAGAUUGCUUUCUUCCAGACUACAUCAGAAGCUUAAUUUCAGUAUUUUGCAGUGAAAUAAAAACAUAUCAAAGUAAAAUGAUAGAUUUUGUUCAACAGCAUUAGCAAGGAAUAACAAUAUUAACAAUGAUGAACCUUUUUCUCAUACAAUUAAGGAGCUAAAGAUGACAGAUACAAUCAGCUACUCUAACCUCUUCAGCUAUUCAAUACACUAAGAAAAGCAAAUUUAGACUUGCUUUCAGUGAGCAGUAAGGACAUUAUAAAAAAUCUAAAUAUAGAAUAUAACCUUGGACAGAAGGAUCACAAGAGGCCUCCC